rnacentral:rRNA from 1 species
GAUGAACGCUGACAGAAUGCUUAACACAUGCAAGUCUACUUGAAUUUGGGUUUUUUAACUUAGAUUUGGGUGGCGGACGGGUGAGUAACGCGUAAAGAACUUGCCUCACAGCUAGGGACAACAUUUGGAAACGAAUGCUAAUACCUGAUAUUAUGAUUAUAAGGCAUCUUAGAAUUAUGAAGGCUAUAUGCGCUGUGAGAGAGCUUUGCGUCCCAUUAGCUAGUUGGAGAGGUAACGGCUCACCAAGGCGAUGAUGGGUAGCCGGCCUGAGAGGGUGAACGGCCACAAGGGGACUGAGACACGGCCCUUACUCCUACGGGAGGCAGCAGUGGGGAAUAUUGGACAAUGGACCAAGAGUCUGAUCCAGCAAUUCUGUGUGCACGAUGACGUUUUUCGGAAUGUAAAGUGCUUUCAGUUGGGAAGAAAAAAAUGACGGUACCAACAGAAGAAGUGACGGCUAAAUACGUG